CCCGGACAAGAUACAGAGCUCCCUGUGAGUCUUGGUGUUCUGCAUCUGCAGGUGGAGAUGAGGGACGGGGAUUGAGCCUCCAGCCUUCGGUAAAAAGACUACCAUCAAGCUAAGUUCCCCAUGUUGCUAUUUUCAUUUGUACAUUACAAAAAUAUUUUUUUUUUUCUGUCAGCAUCUGUCCAGCUGUUUCAGGACCUGGCACCAUGCUUGUUUUCCUAAGGCUGUUGGUGUUUACAGACUUAUUUCUCUCUGAUGAGCUUUAGCAUAAUCUGGUCGAGUCUUACCAGGCCCUGUGACACCAGGGCCAAAAAAGCAACUUGGGAAAGAACACAAGGAUGAAUCAGUCACCGCCUCUGUGGUGAAAAGGUCAUAGAGGGUGGGGAUCCUGCUGCUGAGAUCACGCUAAUUCGAGGCAGUAAGGGCUGCAAACCAGUCCCAUCUAGCAGACGCCAUAGACCAGGAGCCUCCAGAGAAGAACUGAGUCUUGGGUUUGGAUCAAUUGGGAAGGCCUCCUUGGAGUUCUGCCUCAGCUCUGCACCGGCUACAGAACACUUUCUCAAACACGGAGUCACUGAAUUCUCAUAACAGCUUUAGAGGGAGGCUCCACAGCCAAGCAAGCACUUGGGUCUUUUGAAGCCAAGCACUGAGAAGUCUUUUGGAGCUGAAAUAAAUCUUCUGGUCAUUUGCCACCGGUCAGAGCAUCCCCUCCAGCAAGGGCAGGGUGGGACUAAAAUCCAGAGACAUCUGGGCAGUGUCCAAACAUCACACAAGCUCAGGGAACUGCAAACAUCUGCACUGGGCUCCCAUCGUGGGGCAGUCUGCCGUCCUGUCCCGCUCUCUCCUCCUUUUAUGCUUCUGUUCAUCUAACGAAGAACAAAACAGCACACAGAGAAGCAGAGAAGAUGGGCAGCAAAAGGACUCAACAGAUGUAAUACUGCCACGCUCAAGAGCCUGUGUGAAUUUUUGAGCUUCUUCGGGAGGCAACGGGUGGCUCCGGGGUAUCCCAGCAUCUUGCAGUAUGGUCAGAGUCUUGACUGAUACUUGACUCUGGAGGGAAGCUGACGUGGAAGAUCACGUGAGCCGGUGUGUUGGAGACCAGCGUGGACAAAAAGCUAGAUUUGGUCUCAGAAGACAAAACACACCAACAGUAAACAAAGGAGAAAAAAAAAACACCCAAAUUUUUGUUUCUUUUUAAUAUUAAAUUACAGGGAAAUGG
rnacentral:lncRNA from 1 species